UACAGAGGGGGCAAGCGUUAUUCGGAAUUAUUGGCGUAAAGGGCGCGUAGGCGGCUUUGCAAGUGGCGGGUGAAAGCCCUCGGCUUAACCGAGGAACUGCCUGUCAGACUGUGAGGCUUGAGACCGGGAGAGGUGAGUGGAAUUCCCAGUGUAGCGGUGAAAUGCGUAGAUAUUGGGAGGAACACCAGUGGCGAAGGCGGCUCACUGGACCGGAACUGACGCUGAGGCGCGAAAGCGUGGGGAGCAAACAGG
rnacentral:rRNA from 1 species